UACGUAGGGGGCAAGCGUUGACCGGAAUUAUUGGGCGUAAAGAGCGUGUAGGCGGUCCGGUAAGUCAGCUGUGAAAGUCAAGGGCUCAACCCUUGAAUGCCGGUUGAUACUGUCGGGCUAGAGUCCGGAAGAGGCGAGUGGAAUUCCCGGUGUAGCGGUGAAAUGCGCAGAUAUCGGGAGGAACACCAAUGGCGAAGGCAGCUCGCUGGGACGGUACUGACGCUGAGACGCGAAAGCGUGGGGAGCAAACAGG
rnacentral:rRNA from 1 species